rnacentral:rRNA from 1 species
AUUGAACGCUGGCGGCAGGCUUAACACAUGCAAGUCGAGCGGGGGGAGGUAGCUUGCUACCGGACCUAGCGGCGGACGGGUGAGUAAUGCUUAGGAAUCUGCCUAUUAGUGGGGGACAACAUCUCAAAAGGGAUGCUAAUACCGCAUACGUCCUACGGGAGAAAGCAGGGGAUCUUCGGACCUUGCGCUAAUAGAUGAGCCUAAGUCGGAUUAGCUAGUUGGUGGGGUAAAGGCUUACCAAGGCGACGAUCUGUAGCGGGUCUGAGAGGAUGAUCCGCCACACUGGGACUGAGACACGGCCCAGACUCCUACGGGAGGCAGCAGUGGGGAAUAUUGGACAAUGGGGGGAACCCUGAUCCAGCCAUGCCGCGUGUGUGAAGAAGGCCUUAUGGUUGUAAAGCACUUUAAGCGAGGAGGAGGCUACUUUAGUUAAUACCUAGAGAUAGUGGACGUUACUCGCAGAAUAAGCACCGGCUAACUCUGUGCCAGCCGCCGCGGUAA